AAGUCGUAACAAGGUUUCCGUAGGUGAACCUGCGGAAGGAUCAUUAAUGAUUUUUAAAGCGAGUCGAGCGUUUAAGCGAGGCUUUGCGAAAAUAUUUAAAACCCCACUCUUAUUAACUUUAAAAAAAUAAAUCAUGAUACAUGAAUUUAAAAAAAUCACUUUCAACAACGGAUCUCUUGGCUCUC
rnacentral:misc_RNA from 1 species